GACGAACGCUGGCGGCGUGCUUAACACAUGCAAGUUGAACGGAAAGACCCUGCUUUUGUGGGGUGCUCGAGUGGCGAACGGGUGAGUAACACGUGAGUAACCUGCCCUUGACUUUGGGAUAACUUCAGGAAACUGGGGCUAAUACCGGAUAGGAGCUCCUGCUGCAUGGUGGGGGUUGGAAAGUUUCGGCGGUUGGGGAUGGACUCGCGGCUUAUCAGCUUGUUGGUGGGGUAGUGGCUUACCAAGGCUUUGACGGGUAGCCGGCCUGAGAGGGUGACCGGCCACAUUGGGACUGAGAUACGGCCCAGACUCCUACGGGAGGCAGCAGUGGGGAAUAUUGCACAAUGGGCGGAAGCCUGAUGCAGCAACGCCGCGUGCGGGAUGACGGCCUUCGGGUUGUAAACCGCUUUCGCCUGUAACGAAGCGUGAGUGACGGUAAUGGGUAAAGAAGCACCGGCUAACUACGUG
rnacentral:rRNA from 1 species